GAUGAAGAACGUAGCGAAAUGCGACAAGUAAUGUCAAUUGCAGAAUUCCGUGAAUCAUCGAAUCUUUGAACGCACAUUGCGCCCCCUGGUAUUCCGGGGGGCAUGCCUGUCCGAGCGUCAUUGCUGCCCUCAAGCACGGCUUGUGUGUUGGGCCUCCGUCCUCCUCCCGGGGGACGGGCCCGAAAGGCAGCGGCGGCACCGCGUCCGGUCCUCGAGCGUAUGGGGCUUCGUCACCCGCUCUUGUAGGCCCGGCCGGCGCUUGCCGACACAUCAAUCUUUUUUCCAGGUUGACCUCGGAUCAGGUAGGGAUACCCGCUGAACUUAAGCAUAUCAAUAAGCGGAGGA
rnacentral:misc_RNA from 1 species